AGUGAACGCUGGCGGUAGGCCUAACACAUGCCAGCCGAACGGCAGCACAGUAAGAGCUUGCUCUUACGGGUGGCGAGUGGCGGACGGGUGAGGAAUACAUCCGAAUCUACUUUUUCGUGGGGGAUAACGUAGGGAAACUUACGCUAAUACCGCAUACGACCUACGGGUGAAAGCAGGGGAUCUUCGGACCUUGCGCGAUUGAAUGAGCCGAUGCCGGAUUAGCUAGUUGGCGGGGUAAAGGCCCACCAAGGCGACGAUCCGUAGCUGGUCUGAGAGGAUGAUCGGCCACACUGGAACUGAGACACGGACCAGACUCCUACGGGAGGCAGCAGUGGGGAAUAUUGGACAGUGGGCGCGAGCCUGAUCCAGCCAUACCGCGUGGGUGAAGAAGGCCUUCGGGUUGUGAAGCCCUUUUGUUGGGAAAGAAAAGCAUCAGGUUGAUACCCCGCUGUUCUGACGGUACCGAGAGAAUAAGCACCGGCUAACUUCGUG
rnacentral:rRNA from 1 species